AUCUAGCUGACGAAUCCAAAAUGGAACAAAACGCGAGUCUAGGAU
rnacentral:hammerhead_ribozyme from 1 species